rnacentral:tRNA from 1 species
AGGCACGUAGCUCAGGGGGAGAGCGCUACCCUGACGCGGUAGAUGCCGGCGGUUCAAAUCCGCCCGUGCCUACCA